GGGAUUAUAGUUAAAAAUAACAUUUAAUUUGCAUUUAAAAAGUAUCAAUAUAUGAUUUUUCUCA
rnacentral:tRNA from 1 species